UCGGAGGAGGAGAGGGCCGUGAGGGAGCGGGCGGGACGGGGCGGGGCGGCGGAGCGGGCGGGACGGGGCGGGGCGGCGGAGCGGGUGGGGCGGGGCGGCGGGGCGAGCGGCACCGGCACCGGCUACUGGUGCUGGGGCGGCAGGGCGGAGCGGGCAGGGCGAGCGUCACCGGCUACGGGGCGCCGGAGCGGUCGGGGCGGGGCAGGCAGGGCGACGGGCAGAGCGGUCGGGGCGAUGUAAAUGCCAGCCGUAGUGGCGCGCGGCGGGCUGGUUCCAUAAGAGGGCGCACGCGCUGGAGGAGCGGUUCAGGUAGGAGAUGCGCGCCCGGUAGCGGCUGAGCGAGAAGGAGGCAACACUGGAGCAGGUGCUGCGGGCACCGUGGCUACGGCAGGCGCGGCUGCUGCCGGUCCAGGUUGUGGCAGCUGCUCUGGUAGCGGUACCACGAGGUGAUACGGAGCCCCUAGCGGCUACGCGUGCAACCGGAAGGCACGCACUGCGGCAGCAGCGGCACGGCGGGAUAAAGCCGGUCCGGCUCGCGGCCCGGGAGUGCGUCCGCCGGGUCGAGCGGCCCAAGUUGCAGGACCGCGAGCAGUUGCUUGUGCGGCCCCGGCGCGACGUCAAGCAGGAUGUCGCGGUUCCUCAAGCCCUUCUACCACACACAGUUGCUCAAGGUCCUACAGUCUACCUUGAGGUUUGACCCUCCGGAACUUUACCUUUACGCAAACCAUUUGAUAAGGCGUCUAGUUAAAUUAUUCGUAUGUAGACAGUCAGAGGAUUUCGUUACCGAUUCAACUUCUUCGUUCAGUUCGCGUGGUUUCUUUAAGACUCGCGUAUAUGGGGACGAGGUUAGAGUCAACUUAGAGAGAUAUUACUAUGGCUAAAGUCUUCGUCGUAUUGUGCACUUUUUAAACUUCUCGAAACACGUAUAAAUACCCUCGUCCGAGACAGAGGUUAGUUUCUACACGAGUGCGUAAGUCCGUACUUUUAACCACUGCAUAUACGACAUCUCGAUUAAGCUCCUCGAUGGUCCCAUGGCUUUGACGUCCGAUUCGACGUCCUUAAGGACCCUACCUCACUCGAUCUAUUCGUGGAACUACGACUACUUCGUUAACAAGAACCGCGGAGUGCUGUACGACGAUUAGAUUCACUACCCUAAUUCAACUUGGCGUUCAACCCCUACUAACUGUCAAGAUGAAUACCAAAGCACAAACUUUAUCUACCGGGUCUAAAACAGUUUCUACUUUCAUGACUAGUUCAUGACCAAGGUUCCUACUUUUUCUACGGUUAUUUCAACAAGUCCAGGUAGUUUAUAUGAUUCCUGAAACUACACAGAGAGUCGAUACUGUUUCGAAGACUUAACGGGGGUCCACAAAAUAACGUUUACAAACGUCUCAUGCGGUAUAGUCCGGACUGUCUUUGGUCACUUUUCCUACCCAAUCCCAAACGACAACCUAGGUUGUAAAAAGACAACUACCAACAGCAGACGAGUACGAGAACUGACAGCCUGACGACCCUAGACAGCAACAACACCAACAGAGCUAUCAAUACUAAAAACAGUUGCCAGGAUAACGUCUCCGCAGCAAGAACCACCAGCUCGGCGACUACCUCUUCUAAGUAUCUCUCUAAACAACCCACCUGCGACUGUAGGAACGGCGGCAGGCCGUCGUCCUGGUCCCGUCAUGAAUGUUUUUCUCCGUUCGACUUCUCCUUUCAACCUUCUUCCUCUCGUUGACACGCAAAAAGACUGACGGAGAAGGAGUACAGCGAUUCACAGUGUCCGUUCUCCUGGUUCACGUCCGACCACUCGUAGUCCUCAGGUCAGCUAACCGAAGCCGGAAACUCCACGACGACCGAUCGCCACGGUGAAGGCUCGCAGAGGAGUGGGGAGUGAGGACACCGGGGAAGUUGACCACCGUGAAAACGAACAGAGAACAAUAGAAAAACUUUACCACUUCGACUGUCACUAUCGGACAUAGUGACUACCGGAAGGUAACCGCCUCACGAAUCUACCACCAAUACACUUCCUACAACAGAAGAUGUUCGUCGUUCUUUUUAACAACAAGUUUUUGUAUAGAUUUCCGGUUGUACUUAGUAGUUCUGACAGUUGACUCUGACCUGGUAUGGCAAGGUCCAGUUCCAUACAUAAAUGUAAAAAACGAAAGUCGUUCUACUCCUAUUACACUGACAAACACACGCACGCACGAUAUACUACGUAAAAGCGAAAGUAUCUACUCCUAUGACACUGAUAAACACACACACGCACGAUAUACUAUGUAAAAACGAAAGUAGUUCUACUCCUAUGACACUUACAAACACACCCACGAAAUCACCAAGAUCCAAUAACAUCAUCAUAUUGAUCCGAAGCAAAUGUGUCUUAGGUUUAUCUUAAAUCAAACCUCGACCAGUUCUGUACCACAUCAUAAUAUUGGAUAAUUAAACCAACCUGACCAGUUCACAAGAUAAUUAAGAACGACGUCAUAAGUAAGACAUCAUACAUGAUCGAGAAUCUGUUUUAUUAACAAAUCGGGGACUAAAGAAUCGAUGACCAACCAGGACAUUUCGAUGUAGGAACGAAAGGCUAAUCACAAUAAACUUAGAUAUCGUCACCUAUACGCAUCUUCUAGGCGAUUAAACAAAAAAAGAAAUAAAUAGUACACUACCUGUAAACAGCCUCGAAACGGCGGAAGUAGAGCUGAGGCAGCCCCAAGGUCCAAGUGGGGGGCCACCGUGCCACUAAACGCCGCCGACGCCCCAGAAGGGGACGAAACCACCACCGGCCGUCCGCAAACGGGCCGAUCUAGACCGCGCCACGUCCUGGACACCACGUACCGGACCAAAUACCCCCGCCCUCUGUGUACCCAGGAACCAGGCCGUCGCAGCCGUCCUGCGACACCCGGGCAGACGAAAGAACGAUCUAUGCACAAAUCCUUUUUUGAUGUUAUGAGGAAGUUCCAAAUAUGUAGUUAACGUUGCCCAAAAUCCUUACGUAGUGAUAUAACUAAAACCAAAUAUGUACUUGACGUCUCUCAAAAUAUUUACAUAGUAAUAUAACAAAACCCAAAUAUAUACUUAACGUACAAAAUCCGUACACUUUUAGUCUCGAGUCCGCCGUCCACUAAAAAAAAGAACGAAGAUUACGAUCCUACUACAAGACAUAUGAUUUUUCCUGAGCACGUGUGAACGAAACGAGGAAUCACAAAUACUAGUCAAUGGUUUGUAAUAUUAUCCUAUAUGUGUAACGAAGUUUUGACUCAUACAAGGAACCACUACCACAUAAAUAAUACUUUUAUUUAUUUUGACGACUGUGUACCACUACACCAUAAGGAUGAGCUAAUGAAUGGGACAAAGACACUGUUUCCGGGCACUAUCUAUACCAAUCUGUGUAUAACUCGUAGGUUAAAGUAUUUAUAACUCGUAUGUUAAAGUUGAAGUUGAAUUUGUACUCUAACAGAACGACAGUUCAACACAAGUCAAGAAAGGUACAUCUUGAAUGAUCUUUAAGAACGUAUGUAGGAUUUGUUUAUUUCUCGACGUACGUAAAUUUAAUUCGUCAAGGUUUCUUUCUUAAUAAAGUUCAAUAAAACAAACCUCUACUCAACGGAAAAGAUGUGGAAACACAUUUCCUACCUCGGAGGUGUUACGGAUACUCGGUACGAAAAAGGGUGGGUCCUUUUACCAGAUAAAAGUUCACCGUAGUAUGCCACUUCCUCCCCUAGACCUAGUUCUCGGCAUUACCACGAACACUACCGUACAGAUCGUGAACGCGCUGGGACCUCAGACUGAAGAAGAACGUUCAACUGGUAUGAUAACACUCUUAGAGCCGGUCCUAGUAAGAAAUAUAGUACAACCUAGUAGAACCUUAAGCAUCUCGGUAAAUGGCAGCUUCCUACAUGAGUGUCUUGUUUAGUCACACUAAUACGAAAAGAUGUGAAGACAGGUUUCAUUACUCUGUACAUAAGACAUGACAUGUCGAUGGGAGAUUACGUGAUGAGUCGGAAGUCAUAGACAUACAUGUUUACUGGAUUAAUAAUACUUACUGUAUACCUCACACGACG
rnacentral:rRNA from 1 species